AUUGAACGCUGGCGGCAGGCCUAACACAUGCAAGUCGAGCGGAUGAGUGGAGCUUGCUCCAUGAUUCAGCGGCGGACGGGUGAGUAAUGCCUAGGAAUCUGCCUGGUAGUGGGGGACAACGUUUCGAAAGGAACGCUAAUACCGCAUACGUCCUACGGGAGAAAGUGGGGGAUCUUCGGACCUCACGCUAUCAGAUGAGCCUAGGUCGGAUUAGCUAGUUGGUGAGGUAAAGGCUCACCAAGGCGACGAUCCGUAACUGGUCUGAGAGGAUGAUCAGUCACACUGGAACGGAGACACGGUCCAGACUCCUACGGGAGAGAGCAGUGGGGAAUAUUGGACAAUGGGCGAAAGCUUGAUCCAGCCAUGCCGCGUGUGUGAAGAAGGUCUUCGGAUUGUAAAGCACUUUAAGUUGGGAGGAAGGGCAGUAAGUUAAUACCUUGCUGUUUUGACGUUACCAACAGAAUAAGCACCGGCUAACUUCGUGCCAGCAGCCGCCGUAACAC
rnacentral:rRNA from 1 species